GCCCGGAUGGCGGAAUUGGUAGACGCGCUGGUCUCAAACACCAGUGGCAGAAAUGCUGUGUGGGUUCAAGUCCCACUCCGGGUA
rnacentral:tRNA from 1 species